CCUACAUUGGUUAAUAUGUGGUGAACAUACAGAUUAUAUUGAGUAGCAAAGACCUUUAUAUUGUUUAUUCUUACUUUUUUUUUACUACUGAUUUAUUAUUCUCUAUUUAUUUGUGUCUCUUAGAUAACUUGAUUAGGGUCAUUUUUCCUUAUACCGUUUUGACCAUUUUUACCAUCUUCAAUGUCUGCCUGUUCAUAAAAUGUUAAAUUAGAACAGCUUCUUUUAAGUCUUCUAAGGAUGCUUCAUCUGCCCUUUUAGUAAAUUUUGCAACCACUUAAGGUGAUGAAAACUGUGAAAAUCAAUUGCUGUGUUCCAUUCUGUCAGUUUAAAAAUGUUCAAGUUCUAAUUGUAUUAUCUUCAGUAUAUAUGGUCAGGUGUAACAACUUGAAACUGUGCGGAUUUCUGACACAAUAUUUAAAUUGUAAAAAAAAAUAAUGCAAAUUUCUACAAGGAACUGAUCUAAGAAAUGUGCAUCCCUUCUACUGAAAAUGAAUACAUCAUCUAUUAAACAAAAGAGGUUUGCAUGCAGCUGCAGUAAAGUCCAGAUGUUAAACUUCUCCCAUUCCAUGAUAUAUAAAUUGGUUUAGCUGUGUGUGAAGCUUAUUCCAAU